UACGUAGGGUGCGAGCGUUGCCCGGAUUUAUUGGGCGUAAAGGGCGCGCAGGCGGCUACGCACGUCCGUUGUGAAAUCGCUCGGCUCAACUGGGCGGGGUCAGCGGAUACGGCGUAGCUGGAGCAAGCUAGGGGGCAAUGGAAUUCCUGGUGUAGCGGUGAAAUGCGCAGAUAUCAGGAGGAACACCGGUGGCGAAGGCGGGUCUCUGGGCCGAUACUGACGCUGAGGAGCGAAAGCGUGGGGAGCGAACAGG
rnacentral:rRNA from 1 species